rnacentral:rRNA from 1 species
UACGUAGGGUGCAAGCGUUAAUCGGAAUUACUGGGCGUAAAGCGUGCGCAGGCGGCUUUGCAAGACAGAUGUGAAAUCCCCGGGCUUAACCUGGGAACUGCAUUUGUGACUGCAUGGCUGGAGUGCGGCAGAGGGGGAUGGAAUUCCGGCGUGUAGCAGUGAAAUGCGUAGAGAUCGUAAGGAAGACCAGUGGCGAAGGCGAGUUUCUGGACAGUUACUGACGCUGAGGCACGAAGGCCAGGGGAGCAAACGGG